rnacentral:rRNA from 1 species
CGUUGCGGUUUAAUUGGAUUCAACGCCGGAAAUCUUACCGGGACCGACAGCAAUAUGAAGGCCAGGCUGAAGACUUUGCCGGAUUAGCUGAGAGGUGGUGCAUGGCCGUCGUCAGUUCGUACUGUGAAGCAUCCUGUUAAGUCAGGCAACGAGCGAGACCCACGCCCACAGUUGCCAGCGUACUCUCUGGAGUGACGGGUACACUGUGGGACCGCCGCUGCUAAAGCGGAGGAAGGAAUGGGCAACGGUAGGUCAGUAUGCCCCGAAUAUCCCGGGCUACACGCGAGCUACAAUGGUUGGUACAAUGGGUAUCUACCCCGAAAGGGGACGGGAAUCUCCUAAAACCAAUCUUAGUUCGGAUUGAGGGCUGCAACUCGCCCUCAUGAAGCUGGAAUCCGUAGUAAUCGCGUUUCAACAGAACGCGGUGAAUACGUCCCUGCUCCUU